rnacentral:rRNA from 1 species
CAGCAGCCGCGGUAAUACGAAGGGUGCAAGCGUUACUCGGAAUUACUGGGCGUAAAGCGUGCGUAGGUGGUUGUUUAAGUCUGCUGUGAAAGCCCUGGGCUCAACCUGGGAAUUGCAGUGGAUACUGGGCAACUAGAGUAAGGUAGAGGAUAGUGGAAUUUCCGGUGUAGCAGUGAAAUGCGUAGAGAUCGGAAGGAACAUCUGUGGCGAAGGCGACUAUCUGGGCCAUUACUGACACUGAGGCACGAAAGCGUGGGGAGCAAACAGGAUUAGAUACCCCUGUAGUCCCUGUCUCUUAACA